UACAUGGGGUGCAAACGUUGCUCGGAAUUAUUGGGCGUAAAGCGCGCGUAGGCGGUUACUCAAGUCGGAUGUGAAAGCCCUCGGCUUAACUGAGGAAGUGCACCCGAAACUGAGUAGCUAGAGUACUAAGGAGGGUCGCGGAAUUCCCGGUGUAGAGGUGAAAUUCGUAGAUAUCAGGAGGAACACCGAUUGCGAAGGCAGCUCGCUGGAACGUUACUGACGCUGAGACGCGAAAGCGUGGGGAGCGAUCCGG
rnacentral:rRNA from 1 species